rnacentral:lncRNA from 1 species
GGAGGAACCGGAUAAAAUCGUAGUAGAAACUUUAUAAUUUUGCUAGAGAGCGAUGAAGAAUGACUAAAACUUUAGUGGGAAACUUUCCAUCAAAGCCUUCUUGGGAGCUAGGUGUUUUUUAAUGCUAAAAUUCAAAAACAAAAUUUAAUUGCUAGAGAAAAGGAUUAAACUUUUGAAUAGAGAUAAAAUGACACGUUAUGACUAAUUAGAGCUCUUUAAUGAGACAUCAUUGAGAAGCUCCCCACUUUAGUCACUUUAGCCU